rnacentral:rRNA from 1 species
UGAGUAACGCGUAGAUAACCUGUCUUCAUGUCUGGAAUAAUACGCCGAAAGGGUACGUAAUACUGGAUAUUCUUGCUUUUCAUAAGUUAUGCAAGCAAAGGUGGCCUCUGCAUAUGCUACUGCAUGAAGAGGGGUCUGCGUACCAUUAGCUAGUAGGUGGGGUAAUGGCCUACCUAGGCGACGAUGGUUAGCGGGUCUGAGAGGAUGAUCCGCCACACUGGCACUGGAACACGGGCCAGACUCCUACGGAGGCAGCAGUGAGGAAUAUUGCGCAAUGGGGGAAACCCUGACGCAGCGACGCCGCGUGAGUGAAGGAAGGCCUUCGGGUCGUAAAGCUCUGUCAAGAGGAAAGAAGUGUACAAUGGCUAAUACCUGUUGUAUUUGACGGUACCUCUAAAGGAAGCACCGGCUAACUCCGUGCCAGCAGCGGC